UACGUAGGGGGCAAGCGUUGUCCGGAUUUAUUGGGCGUAAAGAGCGUGUAGGCGGCCAUACAGGUCAGCUGUGAAAACUCGAGGCUCAACCUCGAGACGUCGGUUGAAACCGUAUGGCUAGAGUCCGGAAGAGGAGAGUGGAAUUCCCGGUGUAGCGGUGAAAUGCGCAGAUAUCGGGAGGAACACCAAUAGCGAAGGCAGCUCGCUGGGACGUUACUGACACUGAGACGCGAAAGCGUGGGGAGCGAACAGG
rnacentral:rRNA from 1 species